rnacentral:rRNA from 1 species
GACGAACGCUGGCGGCGUGCCUAAUACAUGCAAGUCGAGCGAAUCUGAGGGAGCUUGCUCCCAAAGGUUAGUGGCGGACGGGUGAGUAACACGUGGGCAACCUGCCUAUAAGACUGGGAUAACUUCGGGAAACCGGAGCUAAUACCGGAUAAUUCUUUUCUACUCAUGUAGGAAAGCUGAGAGAUGGUUUCGGCUAUCACUUAUAGAUGGGCCCGCGGCGCAUUAGCUAGUUGGUGAGGUAACGGCUCACCAAGGCGACGAUGCGUAGCCGACCUGAGAGGGUGAUCGGCCACACUGGGACUGAGACACGGCCCAGACUCCUACGAGAGGCAGCAGUAGGGAAUCUUCCGCAAUGGACGAAAGUCUGACGGAGCAACGCCGCGUGAGUGAUGAAGGUUUUCGGAUCGUAAAACUCUGUUGUUAGGGAAGAACAAGUACUAGAGUAACUGCUAGUACCUUGACGGUACCUAACCAGAAAGCCACGGCUAACUACGUGCCAGCAGCCGCAGUAACAC